CCUACGGGCGGCUGCAGUGAGGAAUAUUGGGCAAUGGAGGAAACUCUGACCCAGCAACGCCGCGUGAAGGAUGAAAGUCUUCGGAUUGUAAACUUCUGUAUUAGGGGAAAAAGAAAGUGAUGGUACCCUAAUAGAAAGCCACGGCAAACUACGUGCCAGCAGCCGCGGUAAGACGUAGGUGGCAAGCGUUGUCCGGAAUGACUGGGCGUAAAGGGAGCGUAGGCGGUUAUUUAAGUUUAAUGUGAAAUCCUGUAGCUUAACUACAGAACUGCAUUGGAUACUGGGUAACUGGAGUAUGGAAGAGGUAAGCGGAAUUACUAGUGUAGCGGUAAAAUGCGUAGAGAUUAGUAGGAACACCAGCGGCGAAGGCGGCUUACUGGGCUAUAACUGACGCUGAGGCUCGAAAGCGUGGGGAGCAAACAGGAUUAGAUACCCCUGUAGUC
rnacentral:rRNA from 1 species